GGGCCCGCACAAGCGGUGGAGCAUGUGGUUUAAUUCGAUGAUACGCGAGGAACCUUACCAGGGCUUAAAUGGGAAAUGACAGGGGCAGAGACGCCCCCUUCUUCGGACUACUUACAAGGUGCUGCAUGGUUGUCGUCAGCUCGUGCCGUGAGGUGUCAGGUUAAGUCCUAUAACGAGCGCAACCCCUGUUGUUAGUUGCCAUCGAGUAAUGUCGGGAACUCUAACAAGACUGCCGGUGCAAACCGUGAGGAAGGUGGGGAUGACGUCAAAUCAUCACGGCCCUUACGUCCUGGGCUACACACGUGCUACAAUGGCCGGUACAGAGAGCAGCCACUACGCGAGUAGGAGCGAAUCUAUAAAACCGGUCUCAGUUCGGAUCGGAGUCUGCAACUCGACUCCGUG
rnacentral:rRNA from 1 species